rnacentral:rRNA from 1 species
AUAUGAAGUCUAGCCUGCCCGUUGACAUAAAGUUGAAAGGCCGCGGUAUAAUGACCGUGCGAAGGUAGCAUAAUGAUUUGUUCUUUAAUUGGGGACUAGUAUGAAGGGUUGAGCGAAAAGUAAGCUGUCUCUUUUUCAAAUCUUGAAUUUAACAUUUAAGUGAAAAGGCUUAAAUUAAUUAAGGGGACGAUAAGACCCUAUAAAUCUUGAAUUUUUUGUCACAGUUAGUUUAAAAUUUGUAAUAAUAACUUAAGCUAACCGUGAAAAGAAUUUUGUUGGGGCGACAGGAGUAUAAAAAGUAACUGCUUUAAAUUUUUAUUUGAUUGUAUUCAGAUUGGUAGAUAUAGUGACCCCGUUUAAGGGUAUUAGAAUAAGUUACUUUAGGGAUAACAGCGUAAUCUUUUCUGAGAGUCCAUAUCGAAGAAAAGGCUUGCGACCUCGAUGUUGAAUUAAAGAUCCUUCACGGUGCAGGAGUUGUGGUAGGAGGUCUGUUCGACCUUUAAAUCUUUACAUGAUUUGAGUUCAGACCGGCGUGAGCCAGGUCGGUUUCUAUCUCUUAUAUAUGCGAAACUAUCUUAGUACGAAAGGAUUAGGUAGUUGGGAGAGUCCCAAUGAUUUUUAUGGAUAUUACUUUGGCAGAAUAUAUGCGUUAGAUUUAGGAUCUAAUUAAAUAGGGCUCAGGAUCUAUAGGUAAUAACCCUUGCUUUAAAAGUUAAGUCUUCUUUUGCUAGAGGGAGGUGGUAAGUGGGUCGUGAUGUUCAUUGUAAUAGUCGUUAAUUAUUUAGUUCUUGUUGUUUGUGUCCUGGUCGGAGUAGCUUUUGUAACAUUGUUAGAACG